UGGUGGCAUAAGCAUUUGUGAUUUGCUGCUACCCAGGUUAAAAGUGCUUUCAUUAAAAAGGGGAAAUGGCCUAGAUGAUUAACCUUAGCUGAAUAAAUAAGGCAGUAGAAUAAAUAACUCUGGAAGUUUAAAAACAAGGCUGGGGGAUUAUCAGAUCUUUCAGGGAGAGGAAAAAAAUACUAAAGCUAAAGAGAGGGACUUAACACAGAGGACCACUUACCCAGUCAGACCCCCACAUCGGAGCAUUCUUUCAAAAGCUGAAGGCAAUUCCUGCACGAUGAGCCAAAAUUGGGUUGCAAAGGUGAGAGAAGAAAAUGGAAGAUCAAAAAAUUGUCAUUUCAGGAAGGAACUCAUAACGCUCCAAAUAAAAAAAAGAAAGAAAAAGAAUCGGCACUCGCUGUUGCAUUUCAACAGCUCUUAGGGACAAAGUGUUUUCAUAUAAAACAUACAUUUAAACAUUAAAAUAGAAAUGCUGCUUGGAACACCAGUGAAUGGGACAGUGAAGUGAAACAGAGCAGGCUGUUUAGGAGGAGAAAGCUACUGAUACAUUUUAGGGAAGCCUGCAAGGGUAUCAGAGAAUUCAAGUAAGUAAGAGCACUGUGUCAAGAUUAUGUUACCUUUGGGAGGGCUAAAGUGAGCAACUCAAUUUAAGUCCAUAUGCUACAAAGUGCAAAUAAGUUUUUAUUGCAUUUUGAAAAUGAUCUGGCAGAGCUCGAUCAAGUAGCUAUAAAUGAACACUAUUGACCAGGAAUGUUUUCUUUUUUCUGUGUAAGAUCCACUAUAAAUACACCCCAAAGAGGCCUGUGCAAGAUGCUCUCUGUGGAUUAUGACUGAUGUCAAAAUAUCUCAGCAUGUUGUGGAGAAAUCACAUAUUUCUCCACAACACGUUGAAUUUUUA